CCUACGGGUGGCAGCAGUGAGGAAUAUUGGUCAAUGGCCGGGAGGCUGAACCAGCCAAGUCGCGUGAGGGAAGACGGCCCUACGGGUUGUAAACCUCUUUUGUCAGGGAGCAAGGUUCAGGUCGGGACCUGCUGUGAGAGUACCUGAAGAAAAAGCAUCGGCUAACUCCGUGCCAGCAGCCGCGGUAAUACGGAGGAUGCGAGCGUUAUCCGGAUUUAUUGGGUUUAAAGGGUGCGCAGGCGGAGGCAGAAGUCAGCGGUAAAAUGGCGGGGCGGAACCCCGCUCCGCCGUUGAAACUGUGUCCCUUGAGUGAGCGAAGGGUAGGCGGAAUGCGUGGUGUAGCGGUGAAAUGCAUAGAUAUCACGCAGAACUCGGAUCGCGAAGGCAGCAUACCGGCGCGAAACUGACGCUCAUGCACGAAAGCGUGGGUAUCGAACAGGAUUAGAUACCCGUGUAGUC
rnacentral:rRNA from 1 species